rnacentral:rRNA from 1 species
AUUGAACGCUGGCGGCAGGCCUAACACAUGCAAGUCGAACGGCAGCAGGGUGCUUGCUUCUGCAUUCAGCGGCGGACGGGCGGAUGAUUGCUGGGAAUCUCGGUGGCUGCGGGGUCUUAGGUCCGAACGCAGGGGCACUUACGGCAUUAGCGCAGACGACGUACGUGGGGAAGCAUCGGAUCUUAGGACCUUGGGUGAUUCAAGGUGGCGAUGUCGGAUUAGCUAGUUGGCGGGGUAAAGGCCCACCAAGGCGACGAUCCGUAGCUGGUCUGAGAGGAUGAUCAGCCACACUGGAACUGAGACACGGUCCAGACUCCUACGGGAGGCAGCAGUGGGGAAUAUUGGACAAUGGGCGAAAGCCUGAUCCAGCCAUGCCGCGUGGGUGAAGAAGGUCUUCGGAUUGUAAAGCACUUUAAGUUGGGAGGAAGAGCAGUAAGUUAAUACCUUGCUGUUUUGACGUUACCAACAGAAUAAGCACCGGCUAACUUCGUG